AUUGAACGCUGGCGGCAUGCUUUACACAUGCAAGUCGAACGGCAGCGCGGGCUUCGGCCUGGCGGCGAGUGGCGCACGGGGGAGUAAUGCAUCGGAACGUGCCCAGUAUGGGGGGAUAGCCCGGCGAAAGCCGGAUUAAUAACGCAGACGACCUGAGGGUGAAACAGGGGGACCGAAAGGACUCGCGCUAUUGGGGCGGCGGAUGCCGGAUUAGCUAGCUGGUGGGGUAAUGGGUUACCUAGGCGGCGAUCCGUAGCUGGUCGGAGAGGACGACCAGCCGCACUGGGACUGAGACACGGCCAAUACUCCUGCGGGAGGCAGCAGUGGGGAAUUUUGGACAAUGGGGGCAACCCUGAUCCAGCCAUGCCGCGUGCGGGAAGAAGGCCUUCGGGUUGUAAAGCGCUUUUGUUCGGGAAGAAAUCCUUUGGGCUAAUACCCCGGGGGGAUGACGGUACCGGAAGAAUAAGCACCGGCUAACUACGUG
rnacentral:rRNA from 1 species